rnacentral:lncRNA from 1 species
GUGCUAACACCAACCCGCAGUUUCGUUGCUAGACAACCAACCCGGCCAUGAAGUCAUGUUCCGUUGCCUUGCAAUGUUAAAGCUGCAUAUGUCACUUUUGGGGACCUGAUCUAAUCCAUAGAAAUAUGAGUAUAGAAUCUGUCCUUCUCAUUGAACGCAGGUCUAAGAAGCAGUAGAUAUGUUCGUUGGGGGUUAUUUCAGCUUUCCUUGUUUAAGUGAGUUUUUUAACGUCUUUUACUAUUCAAGCUUUUCAAACUAUUUUCAAGCAGUUAAAUAGUACAAUGAUUCUCUACAAUUUUAGAAUUUUAGCAAAUCUUUAAUUACAGGAUGGCAGGAAAUGACAGUAACCUGUUUUUGUCCAGCUGGUUGCUGCCUGGCAUGUUAAAUAAAUAACUUAUUCCUCCUCCCGCUCUCUCUCCCCUCCCUCGUUGCAAUUCUGCACACCAAAUGCAGCAGCAGAAAUGGCUAUGGGGAGACGGUCCUCGGGGCGUCGCCACGGCUACAUACCGCCAGCCAACCAUAAGUAAACCAAGAGGAGCACACCCGCAGCCCCCCCCAUCAUGAUGACCCCCCCCAGCCAAGAGGAGCACCACACAGCCCCUCCCCAAUCAUGAUUGAGAGAACUUCACCAACCCCUAUAACGUCUCUAUAGUGUAUUAUUAUGAAGAUGGUUUCUUCCUACCACUGCUGUCUGUUAACUUCCUCAUAUGACAUCACGGUGUCCUCACAGGGCCGUUGAUUCAAACAGAGCUCCUGGUGGACAACAGGACUGAUACCGGGCUGGAUAGACAAGGACUGCUCCUGGAUGGACACAGGGACUGAUGCACAGGGACCUCCUGAUGGACAACAGAACCCUGGAUAGACACAGGGACGGCUCCUGGAUGGACAAACAGCUCCUGAUAGGACCACAGGGAAUGGCAUCCUGGAUGACAACAGGAGACUGGAUAGACACAGGGACUGCUCCUGGAUGGACAACAGGGACUGGAUAGACACAGGACUGCUCUGGAUGCACAGGGACUGGAGGCACAGGGCUGCUCCUGGAUGUACAACAGGGACUGGAUGACACAGGACUGGAUGGGCACAGACUGUGGACACGGGACUGGAUGGCCACAGAGG